UCCAGACUCCUACGGGAGGCAGCAGUGAGGGAUAUUGGUCAAUGGGGGAAACCCUGAACCAGCAACGCCGCGUGAGGGAAGACGGUUUUCGGAUUGUAAACCUCUGUCCUCUGUGAAGAUAAUGACGGUAGCAGAGGAGGAAGCUCCGGCUAACUCCGUGCCAGCAGCCGCGGUAAUACGGAGGAUGCGAGCGUUAUCCGGAUUUAUUGGGUUUAAAGGGUGCGCAGGCGGCACGGCAAGCCGGCGGUCAAAUCGCGGGGCUCAACCCCGCCCAGCCGUCGGAACUGCCGGGCUAGAGUGGGCGAGAAGUGCGCGGAAUGCGUGGUGUAGCGGUGAAAUGCAUAGAUAUCACGCAGAACUCCGAUUGCGAAGGCAGCGCACCGGCGCCCUACUGACGCUCAGGCACGAAAGCGUGGGUAUCGAACAGGAUUAGAUACCCGAGUAC
rnacentral:rRNA from 1 species